CUCUGUGACUCCUACGGGAGGCAGCAGUGGGGAAUAUUGGACGAUGGACCAAAAGUCUGAUCCAGCAAUUCUGUGUGUUUGAUGAAGGCCUUCGGGGUUGUAAAGAACUUUCAGUGGGGAAGAAGCAAGUGACGGUACCCACAGAAGAAGCGACGGCUAAAUACGUGCCAGCAGCCGCGGUAAUACGUAUGUCGCAAGCGUUAUCCGGAAUUAUUGGGCAUAAAGGGCGUCUAGGCGGUCUAAUAAGUCUGAUGUGAAAAUGCGGGCUCAACUCCGUAUUGCGUUGGAAACUGUUAGACUAGAGUUUUGGAGAGGUAGGCGGAACUACAAGUGUAGAGGUGAAAUUCGUAGAGAUUUGUAGGAAUGCCGAUGACGAAGGUAGCUUACUGGACAAAUACUGACGCUGAAGCGCGAAAGCUAGGGGAGCAAACAGGAUUAGAUACCCUGUAG
rnacentral:rRNA from 1 species